CAGAGGGUGCAAGCGUUAAUCGGAUUUACUGGGCGUAAAGCGCGCGUAGGCGGCUAAUUAAGUCAAAUGUGAAAUCCCCGAGCUUAACUUGGGAAUUGCAUUCGAUACUGGUUAGCUAGAGUGUGGGAGAGGAUGGUAGAAUUCCAGGUGUAGCGGUGAAAUGCGUAGAGAUCUGGAGGAAUACCGAUGGCGAAGGCAGCCAUCUGGCCUAACACUGACGCUGAGGUGCGAAAGCAUGGGAGCAAACAGGAUU
rnacentral:rRNA from 1 species